ensembl:lincRNA
UUUGAAUUUCACUGUAGAUGUGGAUUUUUUUACGUCUUGUGUUAUUAGCGAUAGUGACUAUUCAUUUUGUCACUAAAAUUUCCCUAAAUUUGUGCCCCUCAAUCCCUUCCACUGCUUCCUGCCUUUGAACACACCUUGUCUUCCUGUACAAUUUGAUGUCCUGUGUUCACUUUUUCUGUUUGCCACAGGUUUGGGACCAGUCAUUUCUCCCCAGGAUAAAAAACAUGCUCAUCUUUCUCGGUGACCUGUAACAAAGGUCACCAACAAGGCGUUCAGGAUGACCUUGGUCAGGCCGGAGAUGUCCUAAGUACAGAAGGCUUAUCAGGGAAUGGGUUGGAGCAGGACUUUGCCUCAGGAACAGCUGAAAACCCUCAAACUUCUCUCAGCAACAGCUGUCAAUGCCUCUGCUCUCCAAAUUGGGGUUGGGGAUGGCUUCAGUUAAGAGAAGCGAUGCACUGCUCACGUCCCUAUGCCCAGAUCAUCUUGGUCCCUGGAAUGGAGGCUGUGACUGCCCUGAGACAAAGACCCCUUUCUGACAGAACCAAGAAGUGGUGGCCUGCAGAGCCUUCCCCCCCAGCCAAGCUCUUGCAUCUGCAGCCAGACAUGGGUCCAGGUUCAAGGUGUAGCAAGCACCUUGGACAGAAUCCCCUCUUCCAGCACAAGUCUCCCUUCUGCACCCCUGCAAGGCCUGGAUGUCCUCUACACACAGAAGGAGACUUGUUUCAUUCCAUCCAAAUGGCAGCCAGUGUGGUGAGAACUGGGAAGAGGGGUGAUUGGGAGGGUUGGGGAGAGAGAAAAGAGCAAAGACGCAGGCAGUGUGCCCGCAAAGGGCUUUCCAUAGGGUGUGGGACACCAAAAGCACGUAAGGUCUCCAAAGGCCACGGUGGAGCCACUGCCUGACAUGAGUCUGGCCCAGGACACCUGCCAGGGGGAAACCCCCCCAACCUACCCAGAAGUCCUAGGUUUGGGGCCCAGAAUGAGUUGAUUUCCUGCUUUGUGGGCCAGCAGUGGCCCUGGCCAUUCCUCUCUCCAUUACUCGGGCAGCUGUGUAGCCUUGGGUAAGAACUGGCCGCUGGGUCCUGACCUGUGUGGAGCAACAUUUCCAGUCACUCACCCACUAAUUAUUUAUUGAGCACUACUGUGUGUCCAUGUCGCGAGCAUAAAAGUUAGCAGGCAAAUGAUAUGUCUUUCUCAUAAGAUCUCCUUUAAUAUUGACAGCAACACACGUAAUAACACAAUGCAGCUAGUACAAUUAAUGUUAAGAGUGGUACUAGCCACUCGCUAAAUGCUGAUGUUAACAUAGUUUCGCCCCAGCUCAUAGUCAGUUCUUAAGUUCAUGAUAAUACGACCUGGUCCGUCGUGGCGGUCCAGCGUGGAGUUUCCGAUGUCAGGUUCGAGGGUGCGACAUGCUCUGGUCUCGGAUCUAGGGUGCGACAUGCUCUGGUCUCGGAUCUCGGUCCGAUGACUGCUGGGCUCGACCGGCAGCGUGCUCCGCCAAUCUUCGAGAGUCACCGUGAGGUGCUCUCCUCGAUGUCAAAUUCCGGGGUCUUUUAUACCCCAACUCAUCUCUAUCUAAUACAUCCAUAUGUUUUAGCGCCUUGACUCUCUCUAUUACAUCAUUAAUCAUUUCAAACACGCAAUCACAUGUCACAGCAGAUGUCUUGGGGGAAUUCCACAAAUGUCACAGCAAACUCUUAUCUGUCCUAACACUCGGUUUCACACAGUUUCACUUUAGUUUUAUGGAGUCUCUAAGUUCUGUGUUUUACAUGUUCACUACAGUCCAGCAGCAGACAGUGGUGAAAAGGUACAUGUAAUGGGGAAAUACAUUAACAAGGAAAACUGAGAUGCCACAGUGUCAUAAUAGUAUAGAUUGGUGGUGGCAAACCAUGGACUUUAGGCCAACUAGAGCCCUUGAUCUGUUGUUUGAAUGGUUAAAACAAAAAUGAGUCAAAUGACUGUUGGGCAGCACACAGUGGUGCACACCUGUAAUCCCAGCUCUCAGGCGGCUAAGGCAGCAGGAUUACGGUGAGUUCAAGGCCAGCCUGAACUAUGAGGCUGAGGCAGGAGGAUCGGUGUAAGUUUGAGACCAGCCUGGGCUACGUAGUGAGUUCCAGAUCUGUCUCAACUACAUAGUGAAACCCUGUUUCAAAAAACCAAAAGAAAGAAAGAAAGAAAAAAGAACCCCACAAAAUCAAAACAAGUAAACGAAGAACUGUAAAUAUUAUAUUGUCUAGUACCACUGUAGACAUGUUGGUUUGUAUAACUAUACUGAUGUUUAUACAACAAAAACCUCCAAAUGUUGCAGCUUUUUGUUUGUUUUUUUGAGAUAAGGUUUCACUAUGUAGUUGAGAGUGUCCUGGAACUCACUAUGUAGCCCAGGCUGGUCUCAAACUCACAGCGAUCCUCCUGCCUCAGCCUCCAGAGUGCUGGGAUUACAGGUGUGUGCCACCAUGCCUGGCAAUGUUGCAGUUUUUCGGAUGUAUUCCUGUGGUUAAGUGACAUGACUGCAUUUAAAAUUUCAUGGAACCCGCUAGGUGUGAUGGUGCAUACCUGUAAUCCCAGCACUUGGGAGGCUGAGACAGGAUGAUCGCUGUGAGUUUGAGAACAGCCUGGGGAGUUCCAGGUCAGUCUCAACUGCAUAGUGAGACCCUGUCUCAAAAAACAAAACAAAGCAAAAAAAUUACACAGAACCCUUGGUGGAGCCUAUUUUAAUAGGCAGAACCCAUUCAUCCCCUGGGACAGGAAACAGGACCUCUGCUUAUAGACCAAUAGGAGAGAAGAGAGAGGGGACCCUGCAUCUGGAGAUGGCCUGAAGGUGUGGGGAAGGAGGAAGUCACAGCGGGUAGCCCAUCCUCAUGACCCAACUCUGCUAUCCUUCUGGGGCUGGGUUUUCUGGCUAGGGUUAGUGGAGAUCUUCCAGAGCAGGUAAGAGCAGCUCAACCUAUGUUUCAACGAGAGGAUCUAAAAAGCAAUGCCUGGGGGUGUUAACCCAGUCCUUUGGAUUUCCUCUUAGUUGCUGGGUGCAACCGUGGCACCAGGACCAUAAACCAGGUCUGAUCUGGUUGUUUGACCUAAAGACUUUGCAUUUAGGACACAGGGAGCUGCAGUCCCCACCAGUACUAACCAGCUGUGGCCCUGGGGCUUGGGUGAGGUAAAUUAUCAGAGCCUCACCUAUUCAGAACUAUGCCACCGGCCACAAAGGUUGCUGGAUAAAUGAAACACAAGCAAAAGCAAUGUAGAAACAAGGAAGCACAGUGAAACGGCAAGACUGGACGUUUUCCAGAGGGGAAGGCACCACUGGACACAGCACAGCGAGACUCCCUGACCCCCUGACAGCAUCUGCCAAGGGUCCCCAGCUCUGCCCUCUCGGCUCAGGCCUUAGGGCAAACAGGCUGCAGGCCUCGUGUCCCCAGCCUUGAGCGUGCACUGGGGCUUCGCGCCUUGAGUCACAAUUGGCGUGGGCUCCACGAGGUUGCUCCUGGCCAGGUUUGCUUGGACGCCUCGGGUGGCAGUUAGGUCCUCACAGCCGGGCACAGUACCACCGGACCUGUUUCCUUGGCUGACAUCUGUGGGGCCGAACCACCAGUCACAGCGAGCACCCCUGGGGCUGUGGGGCCUUGCCACCCUGGAGCCCACCCAGCCCUCGCACACCCUCCUCCGGAAGCCACAGGGCCAGACGUGCUCAGAUCCCGAGUGGGCGCCCUUCUGGCAUCUUGCUGUGACUAAGAGCAUCGCCUUCCUCACUUUCUCAGGCCCCUGCCCAACUGCCACAGCGUAAGUCAAGGGUGCAGAGGACCUCCCGGCUCUGUCUUCGAGGAGUACGCGCCGAGAUCCAGGCCACAGCCGCUCCCACCUCUCCGGUCCCCAACGGGCUGUCAUUGUUCCCAGGCCA